rnacentral:rRNA from 1 species
UCUCCCUACGGGACGCAGCAGUGAGGAAUAUUGGUCAAUGGGCGGGAGCCUGAACCAGCCAAGUCGCGUGAGGGACGACGGUCCUAUGGAUUGUAAACCUCUUUUGUCGGGGAACAAAGGCGCCCACGGGUGGGCGGAUGAGUGUACCCGAAGAAAAAGCAUCGGCUAACUCCGUGCCAGCAGCCGCGGUAAUACGGAGGAUGCGAGCGUUAAUCGGAAUUACUGGGCGUAAAGCGCUCGUAGGCGGUAUGUCAAGUCAAGGGUGAAAUCCCCGCGCUCAACGUGGGAACUGCCUUUGAAACUGG